rnacentral:tRNA from 1 species
GAGGGUAUAGCUCAAGUGGUAGAGCGCAUGCUUAGCAUGCAUUAGGUCCUGGGUUCAAUCCCCAGUACCUCCU